UGUCGAACCCUGCAUAGCAGAACAACCCGUGAACACGUUGAAAAACACAUAUGAGGGGGAUGUCUGUACGGGACAAGGCGACAGCCCCCUGUGCAUGCGGCCCCUUACUUGUGGUGUCUGAGCGAGCGAGCGAAAGCGAGUGAGCUUUGGCCCCCCAAGAAACUAACCCCGGCGCAAUUCGCGCCAAGGAAAACUUUAAACUCAAGGGUGUGCUAUCUCCAUGUUGCCCCCGUUCGYGGGUGCGCGACUGGUGUCUGGCCGCUCCUUAGUGAAAACACAAACGACUCUCGGCAACGGAUAUCUUGGCUCUCGCAUCGAUGAAGAACGUAGCGAAAUGCGAUACUUGGUGUGAAUUGCAGAAUCCCGUGAACCAUCSAGUCUUUGAACGCAAGUUGCGCCCGAAGCCUUUAGGCCGAGGGCACGUCUGCAUGGGCGUCACGCAUCGCGUCGCCCCACCAAGCAGCUUUCUUGCUUGGUUGGGAGCGUACAUUGGCUUCCCGUGCCUCGUCGUGCGGCUGGCUCAAAAUAGAGUCCCCAUUAGAGGACGCAAGACAAGUGGUGGUUGAUAAUAAGGCCCUCGCGUUAUGUCUUGUGAGAAUCCUUUGUGGGAUUUGGCUCGUUAAUUAAAGACCCUGAYGACGCGCCUUCACAAUCACACCCUAGCGGUGGUUGCUAGUGAAGACGUGCUCCGACCGCGACCCCAUGUCAGGCGGGACUACCCGCUGAAUUUAAGCAUAUCAAUAAGCGGAGGAAAAGAAACUUACAUGAUCU
rnacentral:rRNA from 1 species